AGUUCACUCGAGUCUCCAGGUCUGGCACUUGGGUUGUUGGCUGGUUUGACGGACCAGUUGAGUCUGAGCAGUCGACGCGGUUGGUACGUGAAAUUCGGCCUUCAUCCACGUGUGUACUGCGACUAUAAGCUUUUAUAUUCGCUUUGGCAGACGGAAACUGCGUUCAUCUUCUCUCUCACGAAUCGACCAACAGAUUCUUGCGUCAACAUUUCUUUCCUUUAUUUUGGGGGGUUUCUUUUCUUACAGUUGGUGCUAGAGUUUGAUGGGUUCGACUCCGACGAGUUGAUGAGUGUGACAUUUGAGUUCAAUUCUUUGUUGGUUUUGUAUUAACGUGGGAAAUUGAGAUAGAAUCGCUAGUGUGGCUAGUGAGUUGGGUUCAUUUCUGGUCCUGCCGACGUUUCGUUGGUUUUCGCAACAGCCAUGACUGACGUCAUCAUGGUGGAUGGCAGCGUCGGAGCUUCCAAUAAUACCAACAACAAUUUACCUCUCAACAUGAACAACAGUGUCAUCAGCGUGACUAUGGCGGCAGCGGCAGCGGCGGCGGCAGCAGCUGCUGCUGGCGGCACAACUUCGCCAACGUUGGGAGGCACGUCGCCCGUCUCUGCCGCGGCCGCGGCCGCCGCGAUGAUGAUGAUGCAACCGCCAGCCUCUUGUUCCUCGUCGUCUUCGUCUUCGUCGUCGACGUCGGCCUCGGCGGCCGCCGCUGCCGCCGCCGCUGCAGCGGCCAACACGCAAAGUGUCGCCGAUUAUUUGGCGCAGCUUCUCAAAGACAAGAAACAAUUGGCCGCCCUGCCCAACGUAUUUCAUCAUGUCGAACGACUGCUCGACGAAGAAAUAGGAAAGGUGCGCGGCAAUCUGUUUCAAAUCAAUGGGACUGAGAAAAAACCCAUGGUGCUUCCGGAUGCUGUUGGUGCCGCUGUGAAUCUCUCAGAAAAAGUCUACGUUCCUGUCAAAGAGUUUCCCGACUUUAAUUUCGUCGGCCGCAUUUUGGGACCACGUGGCAUGACAGCUAAACAACUUGAACAAGAAACGGGUUGCAAGAUUAUGGUGAGGGGGCGUGGAUCUAUGCGCGACAAGAAAAAGGAGGAACAAAAUCGGGGCAAGCCAAAUUGGGAACACUUGAACGACGAACUUCACGUUCUCAUCACAGUUGAAGACACAGAAAACCGUGCGAAAGUUAAGCUGCAGCGCGCCGUGGAUGAAAUAAGAAAGCUUCUUGUUCCAGCCGCGGACGGAGAAGACGAACUAAAAAAACGACAGCUUAUGGAAUUGGCGAUCAUAAAUGGAACUUACCGAGAUCCAUCAGCCAAACUUGGUCAACCUGGAAGUGGUGUUGGAGGAGGGGUCGUUAGUGGAGUUGGCGUGGGAGGUGGCAAAGGGGCUGAUCUGCUCAGCAUAUAUGCCCCUCGUUUGUUGCAGCCAGGAGUUGGGCUAGGCUCACCAGGUGGACUACGAAAUCCUUCAGCGGGUGCCUCACAGCUUGAGUACUAUUUCAACCAAGCGUCAUCGAAAGAUUCGUGGAACGGUAUAGCUGGAGCUCCUCUCAUUCUCUCGCCACGAGGGAUGCAACAUUCUUCAGCCGCUUCAUCCAUGGCAGCUCUUCUCAAUUCAGCUGCAUCGGGAGGACCACCUCCACUUAUCAGUGCUGCAGACGCCGCUGCUGGAUUGCUCUAUUCACCUUAUGCUGCCGCUGCUGCCGCUGAAUAUUCCAACUACGCAGCUGCGGCCGCCGCCGCCGCUGGCCUGUCAUCUCAACUGUUGGCAGAAUACCAGACGGGCGUGCCGUCAUCCAACGACGGCACCGCUGGAGGCGCUAGUGGGAAGCUGAGACGCCAUCUGGGCUCGCAAGGGCGAGAGCAUCCUUACCAAAGGAACGACCUCAACUAACAAGCCAACCAACAACUACCACCCAAAAACAAACCAAUCAAAAACAAACAAAAAUCCAACCCAACCAUCCAGCAGUUGUCCCAGAUAUUCAGGCCAGACAUUUACGCACAAAACCAAUUGUGUUGUGUUUUAAACGUGAGAGUUCGUGUAAGCCAAGCGUCGGAGCUAGGUGCGAAUUACUGUUGAAAUGUCGCUUUGAUCAAUUUGUCGGUAAAUUUGCCUUAAUUUUAAAGCUAUCAAUGCUGUUUCGUGCAUUCAAGGCGAACGUUCUGUGUAAAAAUGAUUUGGCUCGUCUCUGUGAAGUUAGGUUGCGUGUUUCGUUACUUCAAAUGUUUUAUUGCUGUUUGCAAUAUAACGAUGAUGACAGAUGCAGUUUAUCCCGUUAUUAAGAACUUCACACACACACACCAAAUCCGGUGCCCUACACGUUCAUUCGCUCGUGGCCAUUUUCUCAUUUCACUACCGCCCGUAAACAAAUCCAUCUUCAAUCUUGCAAGUUGUUAGGGCGAGAGUGCAAUCAUUGAACAAAGUUCGUGCUUUUUCCUCAAUGUGUUAAAGGCUCGCUAAAGGGCGAAUUACAAAAAGGACAGUGGAAAUCUGCUUCAUAAAAAUGUGCAACAUGGCAUAUGUUAAAUUCAGGCCGGCAAGCUCGCUUUCUCGUUAAACGAAUCAAUUAUUUUUGGAUUUUUUAAAAUUAUAGUAUCACUGAUAUCUUACUACCGAACUGAAUGAAACAACAUACAAAUGGUCUGAACUUUGAAUGUACUUGUCAACCUUGUAAUUUUCCUCGAAAACUAAUUCAUUAACCGGCGUUAAUUGAACGUUUAUUAGCUGAAGAUUGAAGCAGGUGGCAACCAAGAAUCAAAUAAUUUCGACAGCUAAAAUUUAAGAUCUGUUUGUUAUCCGAGUGUCGUGUUAUGUUUCUCGUGUUUCAUGUACAGUUUCAAAUUGCAUUUAAGUCAUUCUAUUUUCUUUAAAACGUUUUUACUACUUUCAGUUUAGCUGUAUCGCAUUCGAACUCUUGUUGGACCGUUUCGAGUGUUUUUCUUUUUCUUUUUUUUUAUGGCGAAGACCAUUGUUUGUCUUUCGUGUCAUUUGAUUUGCAGAGAAAACAUCCGAAGUACUUAGUGCCAAUAUUUACUAUUAUAUAUAUAAUGAAUAUAUAUAUAUAAUUGUUUCAGCCAAAUACAGUGGUAUGCCUUUCUAAAAA
rnacentral:misc_RNA from 1 species